UCCUUAGACAGGUGUUGUAUACAUUUAGUAGUUUCUUUGUUUCAUUUUCCGCUAUAAUUUUAAUAAUUUCUGCAGGAAUACCAUCUGGUCCAGUGGCUUUACCAGGUUUCAGGCGUUUGGCGGCAAUUAGUAGUUCUUCCAGUGUGAAAUUUUUUAUGGGGUUCUUUAUUGGUUCGGGCCAUACUACUUCAGGAUGGCGCGGAAACAGAUGCACUACAACGUUUUCCAGUUCAUCCUCACCGUUUCCCCAGACGUCGUCAUCAAUUGAGGCACAUAAUUCCUGCCACUUUGAAUGUUUUGAGAUUUUUAUUUCCUUUCGUAGUUUAUCCCUUGCUAUUUUUAGUGUGUUUACCUUAGUUUCUAGGUUUUGUGACAAUGUUGUUUUAGGUCGAGCUCUUGUUACAGCUCGUCUGGCUUUGAUAGAUUCUUUCCGGAGUUGGGCAAUACGAUCGUUCCACCAGUAGCAGGGUCUUCGUUUUGGUGAAAAAGAUUUCUUUAACAUCGCAGCGUUGCAUGAUUUUUCAAGACUGUCUUUUAGUUGCUCGGGCGAGUUUAUACUGCCACACUUAUUAAACCUUUUUAGGAGUUUCGCCUUAUUCAAUGAUUUUAGGUUCCACGCUGGGGGUUGGUUCGAAUUAUACUGAUGGCUAUCUGGUAAAUUUGUUUCCCAUUUGAAAGAAAUGAUUUUGUGGUCGCUGAGGGAUUCUGUAUCCAUCGUUGUCCAUCCUUGUAUGUUAUUUGCGACGUUUUGAGAUACUAGUGUUAAGUCUAUGAUUGAUUUUGAUGUACCUCUUUCAAAUGUAUAGUAGUUUGGUUUGUUUUUGGUAAUAAAGUUUAGUUCUGCAA